rnacentral:misc_RNA from 1 species
GAUGAAGAACGUAGCGAAAUGCGAUAAGUAAUGCGAAUUGCAGAAUUUCCGUGAGUCAUCGAAUCUUUGAACGCACAUUGCGCCCACUGGUAUUCCGGUGGGCAUGCCUGUUCGAGCGUCAUUAUCCUCCCUCAAACCCCGGGUUUGGUGUUGGACCGAAGUUGUGUGAACAACGGGUCUAAAAAACAAUGACGGCGUCCGUGGGACCCUCGGUGCAACGAGCUUUUAGGAGCACGCGCCGAGUUGCAAGGACCUUCCGGGCCGGUCUCCUUUUACUAUUUUACAAGGUUGACCUCGGAUCAGGUAGGAAUACCCGCUGAACUUAAGCAUAUCAAUAAGCGGAGGA